CCGCUGCUUUGAUAAAGGAAAGUGGUACAGACAAGCCUGUAGUUGCUUUCAUUGCUGGACUUACUGCACCACCCGGGCGACGAAUGGGUCACGCGGGAGCCAUUGUUUCUGGAGGUAAGGGCACGGCUCAAGACAAGAUAAAGAGCUUAAGAGACGCUGGAGUUAAGGUGGUUGAGUCACCGGCUAAGAUUGGCGCGGCGAUGUUUGAGAUUUUCCAAGAAAGAGGUCUUUUGAAGUGAAACUACAUAAAUAUCGUAAUACGAUUGAGAUGAUUCAGGAACCAACCUCCCCUAAUAACAACAGUUGGCCGAAAAAUAGAAGAGAGAAAGGGAAAUAAUCCGUUACCAUUGAUGAACAUUUUUAGGGAUGUUUUCUCCCACAAAAUGAUUAUUGCAGAGAGAAAUAGAGUCUUUUCUAUAUGACAUUCUAUUUGUCAGUUUAUUGAAAUUUAGCCUCUCUA